UAGGUCGACCCGCUGAACUUAAGCAUAUCAAUAAGCGGAGGAAGAGAAACCAACYGGGAUUCCCUCAGUAACGGCGAGCGAAGUGGGAUGACUGUUGUGCCCAAGCCUGUAAUCUCCGGUCCGUCCCAUGUGAGGAUCGGCGAAUUGUGGUGUUUAGAGUGGGAUUGUUCCGUGUGACAUCGUUCUCGCUGGCCCGAAGUCGACCUGGAACGGCACGCCCGAGAGGGUGAGAGCCCCGUAGGGCCCGGAAACAGAGAGCGACGGGACGAGGAUCCGCACUCGUCGAGUCGGGUUGUUUGGAAUGCAGCCCCAAAGGGUGGUAGACUCCAUCCAAGGCUGAAUACGGGCGCGAGACCGAUAGAAGACAAGUACC
rnacentral:rRNA from 1 species